GACGAACGCUGGCGGCGUGCUUAACACAUGCAAGUCGAACGAAAAGGCCCUGCUUUUGUGGGGUGCUCGAGUGGCGAACGGGUGAGUAACACGUGAGUAACCUGCCCUUGUCUUUGGGAUAACUUCAGGAAACUGGGGCUAAUACCGGAUAGGAGCUCCUGCUGCACGGUGGGGGUUGGAAAGUUUGGGCGGUUGGGGCUGGACUCGCGGCUUAUCAGCUUGUUGGUGGGGUAGUGGAUUACCAAGGCUUUGACGGGUAGCCGGCCUGAGAGGGUGGCCGGCCACAUGGGGACUGCGAUACGGCCCAGACUCCAACGGGAGGCAGCAGGGGGGAAUAUGGCACAAUGGGCGGAAGCCUGAUGCGGCAACGCUGCGUGCGGGAUGACGGCCUUCGGGUUGUAAACCGCUGUCGCCGGAGACGAAGCGGGAGUGACGGUAAUGGGUAAAGAAGCACCGGCUAACUACGUG
rnacentral:rRNA from 1 species